rnacentral:tRNA from 1 species
AAGACAUUAGUAAAUUGGCAAUUACAUCACCUUGUCAAGGUGAAAUCGUGGGUUAAAACCCCGCAUGUCUUA